rnacentral:lncRNA from 1 species
UUUUGGAAUUUUUCACUGCAAGCCUGGCUCCUCAGAUACAGGUGCCUUCAUCAUGUGCCAUGCUUUAAUCCUUCUGCAGCUUCUUCUGGUGCUUCAGAGGAGAGCACUCCUUGGGAUAGAUGGGUUUGCUUUGAAUUUCCAGACUCUUGGGCCAGGCACGUGAUUGCCUUGUGAUCAUACAUGAGAGUACCGUUGUAGCUCUGAUCCAACUCUGUAACAGUCCAAACCAGAUGAAUGAAACAAGAAACAGACAUAGGGGCAGGUUACUAUCAUAGCUUGGCACCUCCUCACCUGAAGCUUUUCAAGACUAGACAGAGCACAGCACACCUAUCCGGGACAUGGCAGAUAGUCCUGCUCUGAGACAGCGGAGGAGUGCGCACCUCUUUCACCACAGCCGCAAGGGAGCGCCCAAACAGGGACCAUAACGAACAGGGACACAGAUAGGGGCAAGGAGGAACAGGGACCUGAAACUUAACCUGACUUGAAGACUAC